AUUAAUCUUAUUAUUAAGAUUCACCAUUAACUCUUUCAUUCAAGCUCUCAUGAUUUGCUCAACGUAAAUAUGGAUGAAGAAAACUCAGAAUCUCACUGCUACACCUAAUACAACCCUUCUGCUUCCUUAUGCAAACAACCAGCAACAAUGGUUUCAGCCCAUAUAUUUGAUUUGAAGUCCGUUCGUGUCUCUCAAACGGUGGUGACGCGUCUUCAGCGUUUAUGGGAAGCACGGAAAGGAGGGGAGCUGAUGGAACUUCACAUGCUUCUGCUUGAUGAUAAGAUCAGGCCCCUGCAACAAUAGACUCCGACAUUGAAGAGACUUGCUGCCAAAAAGACUCCUGAGUACGUAUCAAGAAUUAGCAUGUUGACUUGGUAUUAACUGCUCAUCCCACUCAAUCUAAUCAUUGGUCUUUGCUCCAAAAGUCUGGAAGAUUCAAGCUGCUUUUCUCACGGAUGAAAAUCUGAAGAAUUCCACCUACACCACAAAGAUGAAAUGAGAGCGGGUAUGAGCUACUUCCAUGAAAAAAAACUGGAAAGGAGUUCGGAAAUUCUUGAGACGUUUUGGCACGGCUCCGAAUAACAUUUGGAUCGAGCAUGGUCAUUACAAUGCACCUCUCAUUCAGUUCUUUUCUUCUAUGGGAAACCCACAAGAAACUCCUGAAGUUACAAGAGAUGCAUUACGAUCCUGGUUCGAGGUGGUUGAUCAGUUGACUCAUUCACCAUUCCUUUUGCAAUUUGAAAGGUGGACAGUCUCAUUACGGUUCAAUA